CUGACCUUAGCUCAGUUGGUAGAGCGGAGGACUGUAGUAGGGAGAUUCCUUGAAAGCCAUCCUUAGGUCGCUGGUUCGAAUCCGGCAGGUCGGA
rfam:Picea glauca, whole genome shotgun sequence.